rnacentral:lncRNA from 13 species
ACAAUAAACAGGAUGUAAUGUUAUUGACAACAAUAAACAGGAUGUAAUGUUAUUGACAACAAUAAACAGGAUGUAAUGUUAUUGACAACAAUAAACAGGAUGUAAUGUUAUUGACAACAAUAAACAGGAUGUAAUGUUAUUGACAACAAUAAACAGGAUGUAAUGUUAUUGAACAAUACACAGGAUGUAAUGUUAUUGACAACAAUAAACAGGAUGUAAUGUUAUUGACAACAAUAAACAGGAUGUAAUGUUAUUGAACAAUAAACAGGAUGUAAUGUUAUUGAACAAUAAACAGGAUGUAAUGUUAUUGAACAAUAAACAGGAUGUAAUGUUAUUGACAACAAUAAACAGGAUGUAAUGUUAUUGACAACAAUGAAAAACAGGAUGUAAUGUUAUUGAACAAUAAACAGGAUGUAAUGUUAUUGACAACAAUAAACAGGAUGUAAUGUUAUUGAACAAUAAACAGGAUGUAAUGUUAUUGACAACAAUAAACAGGAUGUAAUGUUAUUGACAACAAUAAACAGGAUGUAAUGUUAUUGACAACAAUAAACAGGAUGUAAUGUUAUUGACAACAAUAAACAGGAUGUAAUGUUAUUGACAACAAU